rfam:Geobacillus sp. Y4.1MC1, complete genome.
CUCUUAUCCCGAGUUGGUGGAGGGACAGGCCCGAUGAAACCCAGCAACCGUCACAACUUGAAAUGUGUGAAAUGGUGCUAACCUGUGGCAAGGCAGCGUCCUUGAACGAUAAGAG